rnacentral:tRNA from 1 species
GGGGAUAUAGCUCAGUGGUACAGCACUUGCCUAGCAAGCACAAGGCCCUGGGUUCAGUCCCCAGCUCCG